rnacentral:rRNA from 1 species
CUGCCCAAUGAUUAUAUUAAAUGGCCGCAGUAUUUUGACUGUGCAAAGGUAGCAAAAUAAAUAGUUUUUUAAUUGAAGACUGGAAUGAAUGAGGGGAUGAAAUUUUUACUGUCUCUAAUUAAGAAAUAGAAUUUUAUUUUAAGUUAAAAUUCUUAAAUGAUUUUAGGGGACGAGAAGACCCUAUAGAAUUUUGAAAAUUUUAAGUAAUUAUAAUUAAUUAAUAAAUUAAAAAUUAAAUUAUUUAAAUGUUUUUUAUUGGGAGGAUAUUAAAAUUUGAAAAACUUUUAAUUUUAAAUAACAUAAAUUUAUGAAUUAUUUAGUGUAGAUAAAUAAAAAAGAUAAAAUUACCUUAGGGAUAACAGCGUAAUAAAUUUUUAAAGUUCAAAUUAAAAAAUUUGUUUGCGACCUCGAUGUUGAAUUAAAAUAAAAUUUAAGUGAAGAAGCUUAAUAUUU